rnacentral:misc_RNA from 1 species
CAGCCCCCCCCGGUGAGCCUCUCUCGCUGCCCGGUAACCGUUCCCUGAUGUCGAUCGUCUUCGCCGUCGAGCUCUUUUUUGACAGCGAUCCCCUUUGCGAUGCAUCUUUUCCUUUCUUGGCCGUGCGGUUACUGCUAGUAGCUCUGAAGAUGGCCCGAAAACUAGCCAAGAAUCCCGUUUUUUGUUUCCUUUCCUGUUUUUCACUUUUGCUCUCGGUUUCAUUAGAUCGUUGCUUAUUCCUUAAUCUGCGGUUUCUAUCUUUCUUCGAUCUCACUCUUCCCAUACAGGAGACCUUGGGCGAAGAUGGCUCGAUAACCGAGGAAUCCGAUUUAGUGGUGGCAGACCGUUUGGGAAAGAGGCGUGUAUUUCCCGGUUUACAGUGGCGCCUUCCGUCGACGAAGCAAGACUUCU